rnacentral:rRNA from 1 species
UACGUAGGGUGCGAGCGUUAAUCGGAAUUACUGGGCGUAAAGCGUGCGUAGACGGUUACAUAAGUCGGGUGUGAAAGCCCCGGGCUCAACCUGGGAAUUGCAUUCGAGACUGCGUAGCUAGGGUGCGGAAGAGGGAAGCGGAAUUUCCGGUGUAGCGGUGAAAUGCGUAGAUAUCGGAAGGAACACCAGUGGCGAAAGCGGCUUCCUGGUCCAGCACCGACGUCAGGCACGAAAGCGUGGGGAGCAAACAGG